GCGAUUGAGUAGCGUAGGGUAGACCCGAAGCCAGGUGAUCUAUCCAUGGCCAGGAUGAAGCGCGAUUAACACCGCGUGGAGGUCCGAACCCACCAAUGUUGAAAAAUUGGGGGAUGAGCUGUGGCUAGGGGUGAAAGGCCAAUCAAACUCGGAGAUAUCUGGUUCUCGCCGAAAUGUCUUUAGGGGCAGCGUCAUGGUAAUGUACCGGGGGUAGAGCACUGGAUGGGCUAGGGAGCCUACAAGCUUACCGACCCCAACCAAACUCCGAAUACCGGAUACAUGUUCCAUGGCAGUGAGACUGCGGGGGAUAAGCUUCGUAGUCGAGAGGGAAACAGCCCAGACCAACAGCUAAGGUCCCAAAAUCUAUGCUAAGUGAUAAAGGAUGUCAAAUCGCCCAGACAGCUAGGAGGUUGGCUUAGAAGCAGCCAUCCUUUAAAGAAAGCGUAACAGCUCACUAGUCAAGGGGUUUUGCGCCGAUAAUUCCCGGGACUGUUAAGCAUAGUACCGAAGCUUUGGACUUCCGACAUUUGUCGGAAUUGGUAGGCGAGCGUUCCAUUAACCUGUGAAGGUUGAUCCGUGAGGACAGCUGGAGGAGAUGGAAAUGAGUAUGCUGGCAUGAGUAGCGAUAAACACGGUGAAAUUCCGUGUCGCCGAAAGCCCAAGGGUUCCUGAGUAAAGUAACUCUUCUCAGGGUUAGUCGGAUCCUAAGCCGAGGCCGAAAGGCGUAGGCGAUGGAAAACGGGUUUAAUAUUCCCGUACCAGUUUUUGAUUGUUUGAGCUAUGGGGUGACGCAGGAGUGAAAGGUCAGCCCGGUUUUGAUUGUCCGGGUUUAAGUGUGUAGGAGGUCCUGGUAGGUAAAUCCGCCGGGAUAUUAAACUCUGAGACACGAAUAGGAGUCCUUAGGACAUAAACUGACCAUAACCAUACUGCCAAGAAAAUCCUCUAUGUGAGAUCAUAAACUGACCGUACCCUAAACGGACACACGUGGGCAGGGAGAGAAUCCUAAGGCGCGUGAGAGAAUCCAGGUAAAGGAACUCGGCAAAUUAGCCCCGUAACUUCGGAAGAAGGGGUGCCCCCGGUAGGUUAAAUUCUUCGCGAAUGGAGCUGAAAGGGGUCGCAGUUACCAGGCCCAAUCGACUGUUUAUCAAAAACACAGGUCUCUGCUAAGUCGUAAGACGAAAUAUAGGGACUGACACCUGCCCGGUGCCGGAAGGUUAAAUGGAAGGGUUAGCUUCGGCGAAGCUCCGAUAUGAAGCCCCGGUAAACGGCGGCCGUAACUAUAACGGUCCUAAGGUAGCGAAAUUCCUUGUCGGGUAAGUUCCGACCUGCACGAAUGGCGUAACGACUUCCCCGCUGUCUCCGACACCGACUCAGCGAAAUUGAACUCUCCGUGAAGAUGCGGAGUACCCGCGGUUAGACGGAAAGACCCCGUGCACCUUUACUACAGCUUCACAC
rnacentral:rRNA from 1 species